UCAGCUUGUUGGUGAGGUAAUGGCUCACCAAGGCGACGACGGGUAGCCGGCCUGAGAGGGUGACCGGCCACACUGGGACUGAGACACGGCCCAGACUCCUACGGGAGGCAGCAGUGGGGAAUAUUGCACAAUGGGCGAAAGCCUGAUGCAGCGACGCCGCGUGAGGGAUGACGGCCUUCGGGUUGUAAACCUCUUUCAGUAGGGAAGAAGCGAAAGUGACGGUACCUGCAGAAGAAGCGCCGGCUAACUACGUGCCAGCAGCCGCGGUAAUACGUAGGGCGCAAGCGUUAUCCGGAUUUAUUGGGCGUAAAGAGCUCGUAGGCGGUUUGUCGCGUCUGCCGUGAAAGUCCGAGGCUCAACCUCGGAUCUGCGGUGGGUACGGGCAGACUAGAGUGAUGUAGGGGAGACUGGAAUUCCUGGUGUAGCGGUGAAAUGCGCAGAUAUCAGGAGGAACACCGAUGGCGAAGGCAGGUCUCUGGGCCUUUACUGACGCUGAGGAGCGAAAGCAUGGGGAGCGAACAGGAUUAGAUACCCUGGUAGUCCAUGCCGUAAACGUUGGGCACUAGGUGUGGGGGACAUUCCACGUUCCGCG
rnacentral:rRNA from 1 species